UUUCUACGGUCGCCGCUCCGUUGGCUCCGUGUCCGUGAUCUGUCAGUCCGUGCAACUCGACCUGUGGCGUCAUCGUGCAGUGAUGGGUCGAAGCUGUUGAAAUUCCUUUAGAAUCAACCUUCCUCGCAGUUCUACCAAAGCAGCGCCGUAAUUCCGAACAUUUCACUGGCGCGGUGAUGAAAUCAAACGGGAGCAACCGCGGUGCCCUGCGGCCACACUACGGCGGACGCGCUCCGCCUUUCUUGCUCGCAGCACUCUUGAUCGGGCUGGUGCUCAUCGGAUUCUGCUACUACAACUUGUCCUCGCAGUACAGUGCCUUGGAGGUGCAAUACCGGGACUUGCAAGAGCGACUGAGGGCCAUGGCGGAAAAGCGCGAGUCGCUGGAGACCCGUCACGACGAGCUGAAGAAGACGCUCGAGGACAACUCCAAGUCACUAGACGAGAAGGACAAGCAACUAUUGCAGAAAGAGCAAGAAAGAGCCGCCGUCGAAGCCGCGCUUCGCAAGAAAGAGGACGAGCUGAUGACGAAGUCCCGUGAAGCCGACACAGCUGCGAAGGCGCUGACUGGAUGCCUGCAGAGGUUGAACGAGACUUCUUCAAAGUUAUCCGAGAAAGAGACAUCCCUAGCAAAGCUCACCAGUGAAGUCGAUGCUCUGAAGGCCGCUGUCAGGGAUGCUGAAAGAAAAGCUGCUGCUGGUGUACACUCCACUCUCCAAAAGGCAGCAGUUCCUGACAUAAAUCAAAAUGGGGUCAAGGAGGCCCAGGCACCUGCCAAGAAGGAAGAGACAGCAAAGGAACUUGGAAAUUCACUACAAGAUGUGCAACAAGACCCUGAUGUGAAUCCACCACUGGACGCCGGCCAAUAGAGAGUAGCAAGACCUCGGUGGGUUUUGAACCGAAUCUCCAUAUAGCUGCCUGACAAGAGAAUUGAAAGUGAAGAGCAUAGGUGCAGAGCGUCCAGGAUGGCAUAAUUGUUCUGUCUCUUCGAUCACUGUCAUUUGCCACUGUGCGUCAUAAUGCUAUCAUGGUGAGGAGGAUCUCGCAGAUCUUCAUUAUUUUUAUUUGGUCCAGCUCAGAGCCUUGUGCAUCAGUUAUUGUGUCCUGUUGGAGCAGGUUGUUCAUUGUGGUUGAAAUUAUUGAUGCUGCCUCAAGGCUCGCAACUCAGUUCACGGAUUUACUGUGUAUGUAUAUUACCCAUCAUUAGAGCAGUGCUUCCAAUGUCAGCAUGAUCAGGUGCGUAAAAGUUAUCGAUGAUUUCUUGUUUGUCACGUUUUGAGCUACACUGCCGGUGUGAAACAGAUGAUUAUUCCAAGAAAAGUAUAUGUUGAAUAUCCUUUUCUUUAGGUUUGAACCUCACUAUUACAGGAAAUCAGGAUAUGUAGCAAAGAGGAUAUUGCCGUGUUACAUACAUUGUUCAUUACAAAAGUGUAUGCAGGCAAAUACACAAUUAGACUCCACAGAAGGAUAAUACCGUAUUUACUCGAUUCUACCGCGCCCUCGAUUGUAACGCGCACCCGUUUUCCGCGACAAAAAAAAAAAAAAAAGUAAUACAUCGAUUGUAACGUGCACCCAUUUUUCGUGAGAGAAAAGAACAAAAAAAGUCCGUAUGAGUCAAACUUCGCACAUUCAGAAGAACAUGUAUUUGGGUUUUAAAGAACUAGUUUCAAAAAAGUAAAACACAAAGUAAAAAAACGGGCCUUGCCGCUAAAACUGUCACCACUACGGCGGUGAUACGAGUCGCGUAAUGGAUCAGUCCUCGUCGCUGUCGGACAACUCCUUGUCGCUGUCAACGCUCUUCGAUUUCGGGAAACCGGCCCUGCUUUGGUCCACUGAAACCUUUUCGUGAAGCUUUGCUGUAAAAAAUCUUCUGCUUCUGUUUGCGCCAGUCUCGCACGCACGUUUCGGGAGCUCCGAACUAUAUCCGAACGACCGCGAUGCGGCCCGAUUUCCGUCCGUCUCUCUGCACAUGUAAUAACUAUUCUUUUAAAUGCGGCAUCGUGGUACACUCGUCGAGUAUUUGGAGUCGGCACUUCCAUGCCGUCGAUGCGAACGCAGAACGGGAUCACAAUCUCUUCAGCACACGUACGAACUUAAAAAAUGAGAGAAAUCGUAGGAGGCGGCCAUUUUGAAAUGUCGAUGGCAAUAGGAUAACCGAGUUUCUUUUUUUUUUUCGGUACUCAAUUCUAACGCGCAUGCGAUUUUUGGACUCAUUUUUCCGGAAAAAAGGUGCGCGUUAGAUUCGAGUAAAUACGGUAAAUGCUAAGAAUGUUAGGAAAUUAAUAUUUUCUGCCAUGAAUGGUAAUGUUCAGUAUAUUGAUUUAAGUUUGCAAUGCCUUUAACACAGUGCUUUGACUACUAUUUAGGAUGUUGAGUGGAAUGUGGUUAAAGUCACUUUAAAGCAACAGGAAAUAUUGAAAAGGAUUGGGUUAGCUGGACUUGUAAUAUGGCCUUAGUGCUAGGUCCUACCUACAGUGAGCACCAUAAUAAAAAUAAAGGGGUACAUCACUAAAGCAUGCCAUCAGCAGCAUCUCAUUGCCAAUAACUCAAUUCAUACUGGACUCGUUUUAAAAGAACUUUGGAAAAAAAAUUAAUGAUGGCAACUGAAAUUUGGAUGCCAUACAAUUUCAACUUCAUAUUUAUAUGCAUAGUCUGUAUUGCAUGUUUUGCAGCUGAGAACAAAUUUGCUGCCAUUCACCUUGUUUCCCAUGACUUGGCUCUUCCAUUUCUUGGCUCUUCAUAGAUUACAAUUGGCUGCUAAAUGUAACACCAAAGACGUCUUGGUUGACCUUACCUCAAAUCAUAGCCUGAUUGCUCAAGCCCACUCAGAGCCUGUUUACUCAUGCUAUUUUUUUUUGUAUCUGUAUUGUCCUGUUUAACCAAUUGUUUCGGCCUAUUUGCAGCAGUGCCUCCCACUAUAGUAGAACCAGCAAAUAAUGGCAUUCAAAACUUCAGCAUGUGUCGUGCGGAUGAUGCACUUUGUGAUGUUUCUUUUUCUUUGUGGCACAGACCAUCGUUGCUGUGAAUACAGAAGCUGCACAUGGUUGUCAGCAAUUUUAAUAAACACUCAACAUCUUCAUUAGUAAGAAAAUUUAAUAGCAUUUUAACGAAGUGUAGGCGCUAAAAUUUCUGACGAAGAUUUCAAAAAACCCCGCCAUAUGGUAGAAAACCUCCGUGUGACGACAUGAAUUAGUAUCAUGUGACAGCAACAUGAUGUAGAGUACCAAAGCGAUCACACUAGCACAGAUGUGCCAUCUGCUACAUUACACAUGAUGCCUCCACUUUGCGGCAUCAGUUCUACAAAAUGCGCUGCUUCAUCUCCUAGCAUCGAGACCACAUUGUUGUCAUUAUCGUCGUCAGAUGAAUCAGAGCACGAGCUACUGCCCAGAUGCGAGCAAAUGGAGGUGGAAAACCACUUUGUUUCUGAUUCCGGUGGUUUGGCCGUGAUAUUACCUAAAAAAUGAAAAAUGUAGAUAA